UACGGAGGGUGCAAGCGUUAUCCGGAUUCACUGGGUUUAAAGGGUGCGUAGGUGGCGCCGUAAGUCAGGUGUGAAAUUUCGGAGCUUAACUCCGAAACUGCAUUUGAUACUGCGGUGCUUGAGGACUGGAGAGGAGACUGGAAUUCACGGUGUAGCAGUGAAAUGCGUAGAUAUCGUGAGGAAGACCAGUGGCGAAGGCGGGUCUCUGGACAGUUCCUGACACUGAGGCACGAAGGCCAGGGGAGCAAACGGG
rnacentral:rRNA from 1 species